UAAUGGCGGAUAUCACAAUGGUUUGUAAGUGAGGAGAAACAUUGCACAGUCAAGCUAGAAGUGUUAUUUCAAAUAUAUAAUAAGUACUUUGGAAGAUAGAGAUACAUGCAAUGCUUGGAGGACAAGAUGGGUGGGUCAUAACCUCCCAUCUUCUUUCCUGUUUAUAUGGACAGGAAAGAAGAAAAAGAAAUCUAUGUAAAAUAAUAUCUUCAAUGAAACUUCAUUCACUACUAGUGUUUCUAUAUCAACAAUUAAAAAAAUUGUUACCGAAGAAAGCAAAACACCAGAUGAUACCUGAAAAUGGUAAACAUGCCAAUUAAAUUGUCAAUACCUGUUGGAGAUGCACCUUCCUUGGCUUGGCCAUGCCAUAGUAAAGU
rnacentral:lncRNA from 1 species